GUCCUGUCUCUAUCACUGAGACUGCGAAGUCGAGUUAACGGGAACUUUCAAGCUUUUUUUCUCGAGUCGGUCUAUCCUAGGAGGCCACUCUUUGGUAUGCAUGAGUAGAUUGCUCGGGAGAGUCUAGCCUUGUGGGAGGUUUCUCCACGAAGCUCUUCUUUUGGAGGUGAUGUAACUGAGCUUUCCUGAUUCACGACGGUCGCAACGCGCUGUUUCAGAGCACCACGUCACUGUAUCCACCACUUGCGUUGUUUAGUGGCACUUGGCGGUGCUCGCUUUGCCCAGGGUUUCUAACACAGCCAAGUGCAUUCUCUUUUCAGAUCUCGAGCUAAUUACUUGCAAAAACCUCACUAUUCUACUUUAUCUUGAAUAAGUGUUCUUGUGCCAAAAGUAUCGUAGGACCCCCACAACGAUAGACUCUUCGCGGAAGUAUGCGAAAGGCAUACACGACCCAUGCCACAACGGCCCUCUUUUUUCGAGUGGGCCAGGCGAUGGUGCUUCGCUUCUUGUCACGGCAUCCACAUCGAGCCUUUUGAGCUCGUGCAAGAGUCUUGAUGGAAAAGGGGCAUGUUGAAGAAGAGGGGAAGGGUUGAAAGUGUCGAGUCAGAACGAAACGCCCUCAGGACUUACUGAGCCGAGGUCGGUGUUUGUAUGAAGGGUUGCUCGGGGAGUGGUUUCCAGGUUGUACUCAAAGCUUUGUGACAGAAGCUCGAAGUGUGUGGGAGCACGCACUGCCUGCUUUUAUGUGCCGGUCGCUGCUUACUGAUGUCGCUUGUCUCUUCGAGAUGUCUAGUCUGCCCACAGUGUUUUUUUUUCUCUAUGGGAGCGUUAUACUUUUUGAGCUCAACGGCUUGAUCUGGAGGACCUUGCGCUGACAACAACGUGCGCCGUUUGCAUCCUUACAGUUAAGUGCGUCACACGCUGUAUCGGCGUGCUGAGUGGCUGCCGAAUAACCGGCUUUUCAUUACGCACUGUGCUGGAUCGGGAGAUGAAGUUGUCAUCACGCAAACCGCGUCUUUGGCGUGGCUUUCUGUUCGUAUACGCUAGUGUACGUCUCUUCAUGUGACUAGCACUCUGCACCCACAAUGUGCCUCGUUGUUUUGCGUACGGUUGUGCGAGUGACGUGUUCCGUGACCCGCUUCAACGUCCUUUGAUUCUGCAGCGACGGCUUCUCUGGUUCUCCUAAGCGAGGUACUGGUGCCGUUCCACCUCCGCAUCACCGCCAGUGGCUAAGAGCGUGUGCUCGUGUCUAGGAUGUUUUGCGCCGCUUUUGCGGAGGGGCUUGAUCAUGGCGCUGCUGCUUUCGCCUGCGAGAUGAUUACCCCUUACAAAACGGCUAACAUAUUGUUGCCACCUACAGCUAGACACACCAGGUGCAGUGUCAUUUCAUCCGGUCACUCGUCUUGCUUUCUCCAUUGCUUCAG
rnacentral:misc_RNA from 1 species